UACGUAGGGGGCAAGCGUUGUCCGGAUUUAUUGGGUUUAAAGGGUGCGUAGGUGGUCUAUUAAGUCAGUGCUGAAAUAUCCCGGCUUAACCGGGAGGGUGGCAUUGAUACUGAUGGACUUGAGUGGAGUUGAGGUAGGCGGAAUUGACGGUGUAGCGGUGAAAUGCUUAGAUAUCGUCAAGAACACCGAUAGCGAAGGCAGCUUACCAAGCUCUAACUGACGCUGAUGCACGAAAGUGUGGGGAUCAAACAGG
rnacentral:rRNA from 1 species